AGAAUCGUCCUUUAAAAUUUCCCAUUCGGGGAAAACUACACAUUUAACCUUUAAUAAAUAAAAAAAACUCACCCCACCCUCUCCCCUUAAAACAAAUCAGAAGAUUUAAGAAUUAGCACUAACAAUAAUCCUACAAUGGUUAUGGGGAAAUCCUCCUCCGAAAUGACAACUGCAGCUCAGAAGGACGAAACCCACCAGGAAUAAAAAAAAUCUCCCUCAAAUGAGUAGUUCUCCGAGGGGUGGCGGGGGGCGCACAGCUGGCACAACUGGUAUCAGAACCAACUCGAGGCGACCCAGAAGAUGCUGCGUCAAGAGAAGCAAAGCAAAGAAGCGCGACCCAGGAGGCUGGCGAAAUCGCCACUGAUUCCCUGAGGAGGCGGGGAGAAGCCAAGCCGCCAGGCACCGGCCACAGCGCACGCCAACAUUCAGGAUUAUUCCCCUUUCCAAACCCCGGAGUUCCGGGGCAGGAGAAAAAAGGGGGAUGGGGCACCCACAGUCCCUUUAAACAGCCUCCCCCGCCCCUCGGUGUCUGCCAACCUUUUCCGAACCCCUGUGUCACAGAACUUCCUCAUCAUGGAAACUUCCACUAGGUUCGGCGCUGAGGAUGCCAAACUCCAUUUCACAAGGAGCCUGUCAACAGCUGGGCUUAGGGUUUGAGGAAUAGAGCGGCUGCGAUUGGAAGGGGUCCCCAGCCACCCCGUUCUACCACUGCCCACGCUCUGGCUCCCCGACUGCCGCCGCGCGGUGCCGGAGCACGAGAGGGCACCUCCUCCCGGCCCCAGGGCGCAGAAACCCCGCGCAGGCAGCUUCUUGUGAGCAUCUCACGGAAAGGGGCGAGAAGCCACCACCCCUGCUGACAGCAUUAACAACCACAACUGUCAAGAAGCCUAGAAUUGUUCCCGGCGCCUGGAUGCAGUGUUUCAGCGCGCUUCAAGAGGAAAAAUCGCAGACCUCGCGGCCCCCUGGUGAGAGGGAAGGAUCUCUUCCUUCAGACUCCACGGACCCUGUUUCCCCUGGGUCCUUGCCUCUAACUCCGUGCUUUAUUCUUCCCUCGUAAUGAGGCUGCACCAUAGGACUUGCAGUUUUUGUAGCUGGAGAGAAGUUGUUCUCCUUUGCAGGGAAGUUCCCGGGCUUUGCUCCAAAGCUGCCCCGGGAUGUUUUGGUUGGUUUGGAGGAAAGCUGGGGAGUCUGCACCAUUUAUUCCAAACAGGCGGCCCCCUGGUGGCUAACUGUGGGUGAAAAAGCUGGCCACGGAGGAAAAAGCCCGGCUCUGAAAGGCCACAACAGUUGACAGCCGGCUCUUCGCAGGGACCACGGAGCUGCGUGAACAAUUUUGUAACAAAGAGAGAGGGUGCUGUCAAUCUUCCUUCACAAAGGUGGAUAAAGAGCCCUAAAGCUUGCUGGAACUUUUCCUUUUUUCUCUUCUUGAGUAUAACUUGGAGCUAAAUUCCUCCUUGAGAAGGAAACAUCAUACAGAGAAUGAAUUACGUACAACAAAAACUGUUGCUUCCCUUUGUUCAAAUGGCUUUGUUUUUCUGCUCUCAUUUUGCCUGGAAACUUGUGAAAUAAAGAGUAAAUUAAAGCAUUAAAUAAAUAACGUGACAUUAUGCAAACAAUUCAUGAAACUGUGAUUGUAAUAAUGUUAUAUGACAAUGGGGGAGGGCAAUUUUAAUGCAACCUUAUUGAAACAGCAUGAACUACUAGGAUUCCCUUUGAACCGACCCUCUGAAGGCAGUCUUACAGGCUGCAUGGUGAUAAAGAAGGGUUACCAACAGAAGAUGGCAUUUAUUUUUCUGAUUUUACACAAGAGGGGGCAAUGGAAGAAAAUUUUAUGGGGACCUGAUUGAAAGCAGAAAAUAAUAUUCAAGCUAUAGAGCAUAUGGUCCUGUGUUCCAAUCUAGCAAAUUUGAGAGGGCACAUAGCAAAGCUGUUUUCAUGACCCCUGCUCACAUGCCAUGCCAGCCAUCCUCAUUACCAGGAUCUAUAGAUUACCAGCUGAUGACUUGGUUCAAGGAAGCAAUUCAUUCAUUUCAUUCAUAUAUCCAUUCAUUCAUCAGCUGCUGGGGUAAGAAGAUGAAUAAAACAUGGGAUCCAACAGGGCUGAGAUUACACUAAAGCCAAUGAGAUCAGUGGUGGAAGUACAGGGUCUGAGCCUGUCUUUAUUUAAAAGUUUGAUAUAUUUUCAUCACGCAUGAUUGUUGCAUUAAUUUUGAUGUAAGAAAUAUGGCAUUAAAAUAUAAUUUCUCUUGAUUA